UAAAUUUUUUAAAAUCUACCCAAUUAUUAUAAUUGAGUGGUGGAAAUUGCUUGUACUUGGAUGGCAUUGAUAAUUUGCUAUUAUUGAGGGGUGGACCUAUAUUUUUCAACUUACAAUGCUCUAACUUAGAAAACAGAUAGAAGUAUGCUGAUUUAUUCCAUCCAUUAAAUAGAUAUUUUGUAAUAACAAGAAUAACAAUUUGGGCGAGAGCUUGAUUUGCUUUCAUGGAAUAUGCUCAACUCAACAAUUAUGCAGGCCCAAGGUGUGUUCAUUUGUAUCAAAGAUUAUGUUAUUUUCGAUACGUUGUCAUCACGGGUGAACCUAUUGGACACAAAGGGGUUUUUGAUCAUCCUAGAAUUUGAACACAAGACCUCCGGAAAUUUCACCCUGUUUGGGGUGUGCUCUAACCAAAUCGGCAGAAAGUACCAUUUCAUCAGACAUAGGGUAGAUGAAGGUCACCUAGUAGCUAAGAGGGUACCAUCUACAAAGAAUCCUGCAGAUCCACUCACAAAGGGUCUGAGUAGGGUUAAACAUGUUUAGCAUGCUAGGAGCAUUGGUCUGAGAGAUGAUAUUAGUUUUAGUAGUUAGAUAGUUAGUUUAAAACUUGCAACAAAGUAAAUGUAAUUGACUUUUGGUGAUUAAAUAAUAGAGAAUUAUUUAUGAGUUUGUUUA